rnacentral:tRNA from 1 species
GCCUGGCUAGCUUAGUUGGUGGAGCAUUCGACUCUUGAUCUCAGGGCUAUGAGUUCGAGCCCCAUGUUGGGUG